CAAGAGAAAUGUAUUGUCUCACAGUUCUGGAGGCUGGGAGUCCAAGAUCAAGGUGUUGGUAGGGUUAGUUUCUCCUGAGGCCUCUCUCCUUGGCUUGCAGGCAGCCACCUUCUCACUGUGCCCUCACAUGGUCU
rnacentral:miRNA from 1 species